rnacentral:rRNA from 1 species
UGAACGCUAGCGACAGGCCUAACACGAUGCAAGUCAGGGGCAGCACAAGGAGCAAUCUGAGGUGGCGACCGGCGGCACGGGUGAGUAACACGUAUGCAACCUGCCUGUAAGCGGGGAAUAACCCGUUGAAAGACGGACUAAUACCGCAUAAUACUAAAUUACUGCAUGGUAAUUAUUUAAACAUUUAUGGCUUACAGAUGGGCAUGCGCAUGAUUAGCUAGUUGGAGAGGUAACGGCUCCCCAAGGCAACGAUCAUUAGGGGUUCUGAGAGGAAGGUCCCCCACACUGGUACUGAGACACGGACCAGACUCCUACGGGAGGCAGCAGUGAGGAAUAUUGGUCAAUGGACGAGAGUCUGAACCAGCCAAGUCGCGUGCAGGAAGAAUGUCCUAAUGGAUUGUAAACUGCUUUUGCAGGGGAAUAAAGUGCAUCACGUGUGAUGUUUUGUAUGUACUCUGCGAAUAAGGAUCGGCUAACUCCGUGCCAGCCGCAGC